rnacentral:lncRNA from 1 species
AGCAGAGCUGAUCAUUUAGGAAAAGAGCUAAAACUGCUCAACUAGUUAAAAAACAGCCAGUUAAAGUAACUUCAUCCAUUAAAAACCAUAAAGAUCAAAACCGUUAAGUUAUCAGAGUCACAAAUAUGGCUCUCCUUCCAGCCAAGUGUCUGACAAUGACGUCCAUUGAGCGUAAUGACUAACAGUUGCCCAUAUAAUAGGAGCAACUGCCCUGCUGGCUAAACUAUUGUCUGUCUGUGCACAAACGUACAAAUUGGGCAUUUGUGCACAACACUUAGGAUAAUAGAUGUUGGGUAGAAGAGCUAGUCAGCCUGGAUAAGAUCACAAGAGGAAUGAUUGAGGAACACAAGAGCCAGAAACACUUUAAGCGGUCAAGAUUAUCUCAGCUAAAGAACGCCUAAAUAUCUUCAAGCGUGGGGAACAGGAAACAAUUGUGUUCGGUUUUGCAAUACAUCAAGUCUCGUCAGUUCAGGUGGUCGUUCUUCAUUUUCCAGCGCUCCAGAGCAGUCCCUAAGAAAGGCUAUAUAUCAUUUUAAUCUCAAAAGAGGGUGACAAUGCAGACCACAGAAAAUCUGACGUACAACUCCACCACUUCCCAAUAUGCCGACCUCAACAUUUCUUUUAUGACCACUAGUUUUCCACCAACUGGUGCCUCCGAGAUCAACUGUUUUAUUGAUGCCCAGCUAGCAUUUAUAGCAACUGCCACAGCUGGCGGCAUCAUCCUGAUCCUCCUAACCUCCACCAUAGCACUGGCAUGUACCGUCUCAAGUCAGAAACGCCACCAGCGGACGCCCCGUCCAUCCAGAAGCAACGCAGACCUUGUGAGUGGAACAGGCUAUUGGGGGACAGAGAACAGUGAGGGCGGCAUCGUGGGUCCAUGUGAAACCAGCGUUUUACUGGAGGAAGUAAAAACCGAUGGCGAGGAAGAAGAGGGCAAUGAUGGCGCGGCAGGUUCGAGCCAGUAUAUCCACCCUUCUAACACAUCCAGAGAGACAGAGAGCAUCCCAACAACAAUGCAAAGCUCACCAUCCAGGGAUUCCUGCAUAGAUCCCAUCGGUUUGGAGAAUAUGCCUCUGAUGGUGUGAAUUUUAAAAGCUUUUUUGUAUGCUAGCCACUGAAGGCAGGUUUGAUUAUUAUAAUUUUUUUUUUUUUUUUUUUUUAAUAAACGGCUUCAACAGAAUAUAAAAAAGUAAGCUAACAGAAGAGCACAUUUAAAAGUGGCCUUACAUGAUUUUUGGGAAUUGUUUAACCAACUACAAUUAUCUGUUCAUUAGGAUAAAAAGAACAAUUAUGAAAUUGAUUAAUUUGUUAAUUUGUCAUGAAAUGAGGGCAGUUUUCACAUCUCAAUCAGCUCAAAAUAUCUUAGUGAAGAUGACAACGACAAUACAAAAAUGAAAUUUCUGUGUAUGAUUGUAAUUGCGAUCAAAAGGGAGUCUAACAUUAGCAUCGUCUCAAAUGUUUGCUUUUUUUUUUUUGUGAAAAACUGAUUAUGCCUCGAAACUGAAAAAAAGUAUGUUCAUUUGCUCUAGAUCACAAAUACAAGCCCUAUUUAUCUCAUUUUUAAUGUCAUAAGCUGUAGAAGACUUCCGAAUCUUUGGCCGCUGAAUGAACAUGAUGAGAAAAAUCAAGCAC